rnacentral:miRNA from 1 species
AAAUGUUUCAUUAGGUUGGUGCAAAAGUAGUUGUGGUUUUUACAUUAAAAGUAAUGGCAAAAACCGCAAUUACUUUUACACCAAUCUAAUA